rnacentral:rRNA from 1 species
GAGAGUGCGGGCGAGGAGUGGCGGUAACACGUAGGGGGGUAGAGUUGUCCGGAUUGGUUGUGCGUAAAGAGGUCGGAGGCGGUUCGAUAAGUCGGGGGUGAAACCGCCAGGCUCAAACUGGAGACGCCACCCGAUACUGUCGUGACUAGAGUCCAGUAGGGGAGCGUGGAAUUCCUGGGGUAGCGGUGAAAUGCGCAGAUAUCAGGAGGAACACCAGCGGCGAAGGCGGCGCUCUGGGCUGGCACUGACGCUGAGGAGCGAAAGCGUGGGUAGCGAACAGGAUUAGAUACCCGUGUAGUC